rnacentral:lncRNA from 1 species
CAUAGUUAAAGGAGGAGAUAUUCAAAACAUUGUUGAUACAAGGUUGAAGGGUGAAUUCAGCAUCAAUUCAGCAUGGAAAGUUGUUGAGAUAGCCAUGUCAUGCAUUUCACAAAAUUUAGCUGAAAGGCCAGACAUAAGUCAAAUAUUGGCAGAGCUAAAGGAAUGUCUAUGGUUGGAGAUGGUUCAGAGAAAUAAUGGAAGCAUGAGAGCUACAGAUGAAUUUGUUUCUAUAGCUACUGUAUCAGAAUCCACCAUUUUAGCUAGAUAACAACAUUUAUAAUGAUAUUUUUCUCCUAUAUUCAAUGUUACUCCAAAUGACAUAGUACAUUAGUCCUUGUUGUUUCAUAUACAAUAAUUUGUAUUCUUGAAGAUUUCUAGGAAUAGAAAAAUUAUUGUCAACUACUACAGUAUGAGUGAUGCUUAAUUAAAAACACAAUUUUUCUCCUAAACUAUCAACAGGAAUAAUGUGUAUGGAAAGAUAAAUAAAUUGUUAGUUGUUACUCUUAAAACCAAAAUUGUUAUUAUAGUUGUGUGCUAACUUACUACUAUGUCACAAGGCUGACUGAUAUCCUAAUUGUUGAAUACAUUUAUUGGAUAAUUAGAAAAGAGGCCCCAACUAAUAUCUAAUGUAUUAUCUCGAGUAAAAUCAUGAUGAAGAAUUCCUAUCAGUAUUUAAUUUUGUAUUAAGAGUUUUUGAAGGAAAAAAAUCAAUACAAGAAAAGACAAAUGGAAUAGUCAGUACUGCACAGAGGUAGAGUGGCUACCAUGGCACUCUUAUCAAGCCCCGUUUCAGCUAAAAUAUCGAGUAUGAACGAAUUCUAAAGACAUCAGACAGCUGGACCUUGUAGGCAACUUCUCUGGUGAGUGGUAAAAGAUAUACUAAGGAGACAGUUUGAGAUUUAUUGUCUGUCACAGUAAGAUA